rnacentral:rRNA from 1 species
AACGAACGCUGGCGGCGUGGAUAAGACAUGCAAGUCGAACGGGAACUUCAGCUGUAGCAAUACAGUUGAAGUUUUAGUGGCGAACGGGUGCGUAACACGUGGGCAAUCUGCCGAGAAGUGGGGGAUAGCUCGCCGAAAGGCGAAUUAAUACCGCAUAUGAUCAGCUAAGACAUCUUAGCGACAUCAAAGCCGGGGCAACCUGGCGCUUUUUGAGGAGCCCGCGGCCUACCAGCUAGUUGGUGAGGUAACGGCUCACCAAGGCUAUGACGGGUAGCUGGUCUGAGAGGACGACCAGUCACACUGGAACUGAGACACGGUCCAGACACCUACGGGUGGCAGCAGUCGAGAAUUUUUCUCAAU